UUGCGAAUUCCCUUUUUUUUUUUAAUUAAAUGGCAAACGACUGUAGGAUGUCAAUAAUCUCUAAAGCAGUAGUGCUAGCAAAGUUCAACGCAGAAUGUCCACUUUAAAGUUGCAGAUAACCAAUUUGGUACAAACUCGUUUAAGCCCUAGAUGUAAAAUCCAAAACUUUUGACUUUUUAGAGGGAAGGCCUUACUUUUAUAAUUGUAAUACGGAUUGCUUUUCUGAUACCCUUGUUUGUGUGCCGAUAAGGAACGACCGAUAAUGGAACUAAGUAUAUUUUGUAGUCAAGUUAUCACGGCGUACCAUUUAAGCUCAGUCAAUAUAAAAGGGUCGAAUAUCAUCAUACUAGCUCAAUGUCACGGCCAAGCAAGUUUGCCUAGAUACCGCGCAGUUAAAUCUAGCGUAGGGCAAUUAGGACAAAACCUCGUUAAAAACAAGUGUGUCUCAUAAGGAAUCGGUGGUUGGACCAAAAUCUUACAAUAUCGUAAAGAAAACGCAUUUAAUGAAGCAACUGCUCUUGAAUUUUAACACCUGUAAAAAAAUAUAAAUGAGAAAGCAACGUCAAAUGUACUUUCUUUUCGAAUUGACCAGUACCGAAGCAUAAGCGAAGCUAUAAUACCAAUUAACGAAGCGGUCAAAAAUCGUUGGCCGAAAUUGAAAUGCGACUGUCGAGGGCAAGCCGCCAAAGGCAUAGGUAGUAUAGAAAGCAGAUAGUCUAUGUAAAAAUCGGCGCAGAAGCAAAAUUAAAGCGAUUUUAGGGUUGACUCUAAACGCUUUCAAUGGAAGGACUCAAUAACUUCUAUUCACUUUCCACAAGUUUUGUUGUUUUUAGAGAAAUUGAUUGUGCGAUUGAAAUUUGAUUGAGCAGAAUAAUGACAAUUACAAAAGGCAAUGUUUAACGCCUGCCUGACUGCGUAUGGGGAGUAUAUUUACGCGUCGAUAUCUGAUUUCGUGGUCGCCUAUACAAAUGCAGCAAAGACACGAAAAAGAACAGAGGAAACUGAAAAUUGGGCAAGCUGGUUAUAAAAUUAGUAACAAAUAUUAGGGGAAAUUGUUUGUUUUUCGCAUUGUGGUGGAGUAAAAACCGACAAUCAACUUGGCCAACUAAAUAAACUUGAUCACUAGGUUUGAAAAAACAUUUAAUACCUUUACCGCAUCUCCAAUUCUUUUUCUUUACAUGAUUUUCCGUUUCAUGGAGAGUUGGUCUUCUUCGUGGUGGAAAAGUACCUAUUAAAAUACCCAUCCAAAAGUAUACUAUGUAAACAACUGUUUAGGUAACAUGUACCUUAGCAUUGGAAAAGGCAAAGCGAAAGAAGGAAAUAAAGUGGAAGAAUGCCAGUGUUUAGAGAUGAUGAAAUAAAAGAGUUUACAGCUCUCGUUUUAUCGACAUUGACAUGGUAUUUUUGUAUGGAAAUGAGAUGGUAAAAAUACUCGUGUUGUUUGCUAUAUCCUACUUAGCAGUUCAUUCUCUUUUCUUCUCUUCUCUGAAAAGCUAUAACAUAAAUACUUCAUCAUUUUUUAUUUUAUUUGCAAAAUACUUUUAUUGGUUUUUCUCUCGAUGUGCUAUUUCCAUGGAAAUCACUUGGUCUUUUGCUUGUAAACAAUAAAUGAAACGUUGCGAUUUACUAAUUACAAUUAAGUACUACGUUAACAUAGUUUUCUUCUAUAUUAUUAUAUUUAUAUCGUGUAUCACUUUAUACGUGUAUAUAGUUAUAUUAUUUGACUUAGAUAAAACAGCCGCAUCUUCUUUGCCAGCUAUCUAAUCUCGUGCCGAUGUAAAUAAAACAUCAAUUUUCGUCUCGGGCAACAUCACCAUGGUCAACUUCAAUAUUUCGUGUACGGCAGGUAAAUUUUCAUGGGCGUCUGCACCCUACGAGGCAAUUUCCAGCCCAACGGAAGCGUGUAGGAUGAAUGGGAGCUAAUUCGUUAAGACAGUGCCAUACCUGGAUUCAUUCAGGCUAAGGGUCUGAUAUUGAAUGUGUAGAUCCACAGAAUGUGGGUCUCUUCAGCACUAAUAAACAAGAGAAUCGUGCUUUUCUGCGCAGAUAAUUACUCGUUUAUCCAUCUCUGUUUACACUCUCGCUAUGUCACACGCCGAUACCAAACGUCGUUGGAAAACGGAAAGCUUGAUGUUUUUUACAAAUCAUUACUUAAACAAAGUGAAACUUACAUAAAUUCUUCGAACUUUCUUCUGUAUACGUAAGGUGGAACAAUGUUUAAUUGUGAUUUUCCAUAGUUCCCCGGUAUAUGUCUAGCGUCGGCCUGCUACUAUCUAGGCAGUUUUCCGAAAUUAACAUUUGUCCGCUCUGUAAAUAAAAUAAAGUAUUCCGCUAUA